AGAUGGGCCGGGUUUGCCUGGCAGCACUGACAGGGAUAGGGAAUGUCAGGUGUAAGUGAGAGAGAUCUCACACCCCCAGCCCGCUGACCAAGCAGCAACCCUAUCUGUCGCCCCCUUCCCAGCGCAGAGGAACCAAAAGAAAGGAGGGUGCUCCAACCUAUGCACAAGGAUAUCAGGGAACACUAGGAAAGGGGUAAGGAGAGGGCAGGUGGCUGAAGGGACCACUCCAAUCCCAGGUAACUACCGCCUCCUGACCCUGGUUCGCCCUCCUCUAGCCACCAAGAGUGUCUCCCUGAGUGCCUGCAUGUGUCUCCCAGAGUCCAGUAUCCCGUGUCUGCCCUGAUGCUGAUGGCUCUGGACAGGAGCGCAGCCCUCUACUAGAGACCUAGAGCACAGAAGCAGCCGGGAUCAAAUUCCAGGCAGGAAACAGACCUUACAAGACCGUCCUUGUCUUGGGCACAUCACAGGUUAAAACUGGGCAGGGAUGGGGCUCAUCCUGACCAGUCUCGUAGUGCUGAGUUUGGCACCAAGGUUUGCCUUGGAGGGUCAAUGAAGGAGGAAGGGAAGUGGGGUGUAUAUAGCUGCCAGGCUUUUACUGCAACGUGCCCUGGGGUGGGCGGGCGCCAGCUGGGCGCCUGCUCUCCCAAGUGGCCAGUUCUCUCAAGCAAGCUGGGCAUAUUUUAUAAGAGGUGAGUUAGGGGCAGGCAGUGAAGUGCUCUGUAAAUACAAAGUUGGCAAGAAUGCACCUGGACAGUCUUAAAUUGGACUCCCUGUCAGUCAGGCUUAUCAAUUCGGUGCUGUUCACAUAGAACUUAAGAGUUGCUGGGAUAGUGUCAGUGGUUCUGAGCCCCGAAGUGCCAAAAACUCAUAGGUUGAGCCAAUAGACUUGGCUUCUAUUUCCAAGUCCUAAGAACUGGAGGUGCUCAUGUGGGGAGGCCUGCUUCCCUGGGCUUUCAUUCCAGUGGCCUGACCCUGGGCAUCGAGUAUUUACCCUUGGCAUGUUGGAACUCACCCACCUUGGGUGUGGGGAGGGUCUGGGAGCACCUGCAGCUAGGGGUAAGACUCCAGAGCAGAUUCCAGACCCUUGCCUUCAGAGAGCGGAAGCUCCUGGAGCUGUUCCAGCAAGUGGCCACAUCCCUGUCUUCAGCUCUCUGGAGGUCUCUGCAUGUGGCUACCCACCGUCCUCUCUGCUUCUCUCACGCCAAACUCAGCAGCUGCCUUGUAACAGAGGAGGACAGGCUGCCCCUGACUAUUGCUGUCUCCUCUGGAAGCUACUGACAAGACUCACUUCCAAUCAUGAUAAAGAUCACAGGCCUCCCUGCAUACAUGAAAUCUUCCUGAAUGAAGAGCAGAGCCAUGUUUCAUAGUUUGGGUGAUUGAGAAAGAAGCAUGAAUUCUUCUAAAAUCAAGAGACACUAGCCUAAGAGCAAUGCAUCCUGAAUAAGGAGCCCCCCCGCAAACAUGUGACAGGUUUGGUCACCUGUGCCCUUCUCCUUGAGACUGGAAACCCCAGUCUCUCUCUGCUGGGACUACCACAGUCUUGAGAUACAGGCCAACAAGGACAAGUUUGUGUCUAUGUAAAGAAACAUCUAGCAAAACCUCAAUAAUUUGAAAUAAAUUUGCACUAUGUUAUGGAGCCCAGUGGUUUUAGGGAAUAUCAGAAAUCAUUAAUGACUAUCUUUGAAGUGCACAUGUACAUAAACCAACAAGCUGAUCUUUUCAGCUUUUAAGACAGAGUCUCUCUGUGACUCAUUUAGAAUUUGGUAUGUAGGUUCGUUAGCUUCAAACUUCCAGUCCUCCUGCCUCGGCCUCCCACAAACGCAUGCACACGUGUGUAUACGUCAGAAGUUGGUAAAUGGUUUUCCUCUCUCUGUUUUAAGCAUCUAUUAAUGAACUUGGAACCCAGAACUUGUCGCUUGACAUUUUGGCUACACUGUCUGGACAGCAAGGCCCCAGUUCAGCCUAUGUCUGCCCUCUAACUCACACCCUCACUGGAAUUAUAUACUGUGCCACCAUGCCUGGCUUUUAUUUAGGGGUCCAAACUCGGGUCCUCAUGUUUGGGUAGGAAGUACUUUCCCUGCCUCUGAAUUGCUGAUGCAGGGACUUUCUGGUACAGCAGGUCUCGUGGCUAAUGCAUACAAAAGUCACCUAGAGAACGCUACAACUCUGCAGGGCCGGGAUUGAGCAUCCACAGGCCAUCUACAUCCAUGUGGCCCCUGUGCUUGUUGUAUUCCAACCUUAAGGACUUACAUCGAGAAGCAGUUUUCACACCCACACCACAGGGAAACCUUUACAGGCUUCAGUUCAUAAAGACUGAAAACUCAGACGAAAGCUCAGGCUGUUUGGAGGUGCAAUGGAAGCAAAGACUUUGAUGUGACAAGUCCCAGCUGAGGUGGACCAGCCUGUGGGGACUCAGGACUCUCUGCGUAGGUUUCUGAGCUACCACAGAGGAUGUCCCUGUGGGUGAGAGGUUUAAGAGAACCUUGCUGCCCAAACUGUGGUUCACAGAUCUGGGGCAUCAACAGCACCAAGGAAUCAGGGACAAGCGCUGUAGCAUCCCUGGGCCUUGGGAUCCUCCCUGCAGCAUCCUUCAAAUCAGCACCUGCAGUUCAAGGAUCCCUGGUAGCCAGCCAGCCUGCAGGCCUUCAGAAGCUCAACUGCAGCAGGCAAAUGUAAGAAGCAGAGAACCGUUACCCACCAACCUGAUCCUACCCCAUCCAGAAUCCUCACAACUCUGUAAUACAAAGAACACUUUAAUACAUAUACAUUAUAUACAUACAUAUUAUAUUAAACAAUAUUAUACACACAUAUAUUUAUAUAUUGUUUAGAUAAUAUUUGUUUAUAAUAUAUAAACAAUAUAUAAAAAUUGUUUUAAAUGUAAGUAUAUAAAAUUGCUUUAAAUAUAUACACAUAUAAACAAUAUGUAUAGUUUACAUAUACUAUAUAUAUGUUUAUGGUAUAUAUUGUUUUUAGUUUCUGACACGUAUUCAUUGUGUGCUGAGCACUCGGCCUGGCCCCAGGGUCCCUUUCUUCGCCCCUCCUUUCAUUGAUCCACCCCUGUUCCCUUACUUCACUUCACUUGUGCUCUUAAUCUAUAUAAUCAUGAUUAUUUAUGACUGUAUAAAAUCCAGGGACUAGAAAUGCGGGUAAACAUACAAAAUCUGUCUUUCGGUUCUGAGACUGGUUUAAUUCGUUUAAUCUGAUUGUCUCCGUUGUGUUCAUUUUCCACAAAGGAUAUAACUGUGUGAAAACUUCCGUUGAGUGUAUACACAUUUUCCUUACGUAUUCGGUGAUGCUGGGCACUAAGUUGGUUCCACCUUAGCUACAGUGACAAGUGCUGCAGUAAACUCGGGUGUGCAGGUGUCUCUGUAGUCUGAUGAUAUGGAGUUCUUCAGGACCCUCUAGAACUCACUCCUGUGGACGAUGCUCCUGUUGACAAGAAAAUCCUAUCAACAUUGCUCAUUCCAUCUGAGGUUAGCAUCACUGUCCACUGGAACUUUCUUUGAUGAUAGAAAUGCUCUUUGUGAGUUUCAGUAGGGAGCCUCCUUCCCAAAUGUGGCUGUGAGUACAUGAGUUAUGGCUAGUGUGACUCAGAAACUGGAUUUUAAUUUGAUUUCUUUCUAAUUGAUUUACACUUAAGUAGCUUCAUAUGGUCAGUGGCUCCAGUGUGUUGGACAACACAGUUCCGACGUGACCAUCCUUCCUCCUGCUGAGCCUCUCCCAUGUUGUCCCCAGGUUGAACACUUGCCCGUCCUACCCUGCUUUGUAUGUAUUAAUCCCUGCUGAAUUCACCAAGAUGAAAAACAUCUGCUUUGCCACCUAAUUUGCAUAAUAAGUAACAUUAUGCUUAUUAUUUUGAAUGAGAAGAGUGUAACUUGAAUUAAAUGCCACCAAAAAGUUGUCAAAACCUC
ensembl:lincRNA Gm26614 predicted gene, 26614